CAGCCGCCACGGUAAUACAGAGGGUGCAAGCGUUAAUCGGAUUUACUGGGCGUAAAGGGCGCGUAGGUGGUUAUUUAAGUGAGAUGUGAAAGCCCCGGGCUUAACCUGGGAACUGCAUCUUAUACUGGGUAACUGGAGUGCAGUAGAGGGUAGUGGAAUUUCCGGUGUAGCGGUGAAAUGCGUAGAUAUCGGAAGGAACACCAGUGGCGAAGGCGGCUACCUGGACUGAGACUGACACUGAGGCGCGAGAGCGUGGGGAGCAAACAAGAUUAGAUACCCCCGUAGUCCCUGUCUCUUAUAA
rnacentral:rRNA from 1 species